CUUCCUCAACUUUCCAUUCUCUCGAUCUCUCCUCCCUCGAUCUCUCCUCCUUGAAUCUCCUUCAACCUUCCAACAUGCAAAAUCUCCUUGAAUCUCCUUUAUCGCCGCCACCAUCAUCAUCAGACCUCGAUCUAGGGUUUACACUGAGGCUUCGCCGUCGAUGAGCUAGGGUACCGGGAGGUGGGCCUGAGAAGAGCUUCGGGUCCAGAUCCUACUCCGACGUGUACAUAGCCCUCCGAAUCUCCGUCAACCUUACCGUGAGGUCCGCGGCUACCAGUCGGCGUUACGAGAAAUCGAAGCCCUCCGCCGCCAUUGAUGGGUUGAUGAAUCCAAAUGGGUUCUCGAAUUAUAUGCUUUUUUAUCAAAGGAUUCAAUGAGGAAUUGAGGAUUGUUGUUGGAACUUGGGCGUUGGAUGUGGUUUUAAUUUGAAAUUUAUUGCGGAUGUCAUGUUUAUGUUGUUUUGGAGUAUUUGAUUUUUGGAAUUUGGAUGUCUUGGACUUUCGGAUAUUGUGUAUGUGGAUUUCAUUUUUAGAUGUUGGAGGACGAUGUAAUAUUGUUAUUUUGGAUGUAUUGUUAAAACUUAAUUUAUGAACUUGGAUAUUAGACUUUGUAUUUA